GGCACAGUCGCUCAGUGGUUAAAGCACUGGCCCUGCAAACCAGGGAUGGUGAGUUCAAGCCUCACAUGGGCCU
rnacentral:tRNA from 1 species